ensembl:lncRNA
AUGUCACUAUCAGUUCUGAAAUCAUGUUUUCACACAAUGAUGCCAUUUUUCUGGAGAGACAGGUGUUAUCACCUAAGACCCCCCAACUCUGCUGCUCGACACAAAGUCAUCCAUCACCACAGCAACAGUGCCCGACAUUGCCUGGGAAGCGAGGGACUGCCAGGGCAGAUGGAAGAGAGGCAGCUCAACUGGUCUUCCAGCAUCAGGUGGUCUGGGAAUGAUAGAGAGAGACUGAAAGAGACAGAGGGCAUCUUCCUUUGACACCAAGAAGUAAAAAAAAAAAAAAAAACUUUCUUUUUGACACACAGACAGUAAAGACAGGUGUGUCUGUGACUGGAACUCCCAGCUGGAAACUCUAGAAAUAAAUGUACAAAGCCUUCUCA